GUACCGUGAGGGAAAGAUGAAAAGAACUUUGAAAAGAGAGUUAAACAGUACGUGAAAUUGUUGAAAGGGAAACGAUUGAAGUCAGUCAUACCAACGGGAAAUCAACCUUUUGAGCUUGGUUUCGUGGGUUUUGAAGAGUUUCAAAGCCUUCGGAUUCGCGAGAUUGGGAUCUCUCGGUGUACUUUCUCGUACGGUUAGUCAACAUCGGUUUUGAAUGUCAUAAAAUGACUGGAGGAAUGUAGCUUCGAUCUCGUAUUGAAGUGUUAUAGCCUUUGGUAGAUGUGAUGUUUGAGACCGAGGAUUGCAACGGAUACCCUUCAGGGCUAUUCGUCUGAUCUCUGAUACGUUGCCUUGAUGUUGAAAGCUUGCUUAUGAUGUUAGGGUAUUACGGUCAAAAGGUUAGAACGAAUUACAUUCGUUAAGG
rnacentral:rRNA from 1 species